GCCGAGACGGGGGAACCUGUUCUGAGGUCGUGCGUCAGGAAAGCGGACUUCUGUUACGCUGCCUCCGCGCGAACUGAGGUUUGGGCCGGUCGCGCCGAACCAUUCGAACCGUCCCGCGUGGCCUGGGGGAAGCCGGUCUUCCCCUGAGAAGCACCCCUCACCAGUAAAACCGGGGGCCUGGUGUGUGGGUGCAGGGACAAAUGUUUCCAAAGCCCCGACCCCCCGUGCUGCGCCUUCCUGGAGGUUAGCAUUUACGGUUGUGGUUGUUGCACUAGUUGUUGGCCUGUCACGUUGUGUCCCGCCACCUUCCCCGGACUUCGCCCACAGGGUGUCCCCAGCCCCGCCCGGCCUGCGCUUGGGCGGCUGCGGGGGCCGGGCGCCAGGGGAGCCCGUUCUUACCCACACUCGGCAGGCAGAGUGGGCGCUCAGUAAGUCGUGUUGAUAAUCAUAAUAGCAACGACAGUAGUCGUCGCUGGCUCUUAGGGAGCACAUCCCUUUGCCAGGCACCCAUCCAAGUAUGUCACUUGCCAUUUAAUGUGAACUGAUCUGCCCGGCAGCCCCAAGAGGCCCGUCAGGCGCCCUUGUCUCCAGAACUGGCCGUGGCCAGGGGGUCUGUUGUUGGAAACCAAGUCACUGAGUGACAAGCUGCUGCGUGAGAGUCUUUGCACCGAUUCCUGUCUUUGUAACUUCUUUCUGAGGGAAGAUGGUGGGCGAAGAGCCCUGACUCAUAGCUGGCUGUGGGGGCAAACACAGGACCUAAUGAUGCUCUUCUGAACCGGCCUGAACUCGGCAGUGCAGCCCUCACUGAGUGUGUACGCCCAGGAGAGCGGGCCCUGCCACCAGCCUGUAAGCGUCUCACGGUGACCUAUAUGGCGUCACAGACGGAGGUCCGCCCUCGCCUGAGGGCGCAGACAGCGGGAACUGCCGGACCCUGGGAAGCGCUGCUGCCACCUUGCCCGUCGGAUGGCGGGAGGGGGAGCCCACGGGCGACCCGGGCUCACAGGCUGGGGCCAGCGGGCCCCCGGCGGGGGGAGAGCUCUCCGAGUUCCUGCCAUUCUUUCCGUGGCCUCACGCAGCGGACACCGGCUCUCCAGAGCCGCCCUUGGGGGACGCUUUUUUAAAUUUUUUGUUUCUAUUUUGUUCUGAUUCAAGAGACAGGGAAGGGAGAAAGAGAAACACUGACCGUCUGCCUCCUGCCAGUCAGGGAUCUAGCCCGUAACCAGGGCUUGCACCCUGAGGGGGAAUCGAACCAGCGACCUUUUGGUAGCGGAUCAACACUCCAACCAGCUGAGCCCCGCUGUCCAGGGCAGGGGGAGAGGUUUUUAAGUGAGCGAGGAAUAAGUCGCUCCUUUGGCAGAGCUGCUGUGGUUCUUUUUUCUGCACCGAAAUAGAUGCUCAUUCCCGCAGACAGUGACCUUGGAUGACGCAGCUGCUCCUGUCAGGCCAGCCAGCCCAGAACACGUGGCACCUGUGCACCCUGUCACUCCAUGUAAUGGAUUAGCACGUGUACACAGGGGCCCUGCUCCUGCCGGCUCUGGGGCCGUGCGUCGUGGGGGCUGCGAGCAGGCCUGCCAGCACCCCAGCAGGCCCCUCCCCUUCAGUGGGCUAAUGUGCUUUCAGGCUCUCAAUUUCCUCUCCCAGUUACCGCUUGUCUCCUUUCAUGGAAACAGGAAUCAGAAUCCACUUAUCUUGCUCCCGAACAAGAUUCCACAGUGCGGAAUGCUGGUAUUUAGAAUUUUAAUGAGUCCUGCACUCCGCACAUUGUACUGCAGCAAUCUUCGGAGAACGGUUCCCCCUCCCCCACCCCCGGGGGACAAAGAAGCAGUUCGGAAACAACAAUUUCAUGUUUUAUACACCUGGGCCACCGGCAAACCCCUGACAAUCACUAGUGAUUCUCUUUGCUGAGAGCCAGGAUCUUGCAACAGCUUGUAAUUAGUACUGUUUAGCAUUUAAUUUGCCUUUAGUUAGGUAACAAGCAUUUAUUGAUUACCUGAUAGGAACAGAGCGCUGUGGUAAGCACAGUGUGGGGACCAAGUGACGGAUGAGCACAGUCCCUACUUAUAGUCUGCUUGGGGCUGAAAAUGGGUGCUUUGGAAAAUAAAUUCGAAAAACAGUUACAAAAAUGUUUCCUUAACUAUGCUGCCACAGGAAGUUAUUGCUCUUCCGGAAUCCAAGGCUGUAACUCCUGGCACACGCCAUUCUGAGGAGGAAAGUUCUCGUGGCCGCAUCCUAUCUCGUGGCGGGAGAGGAGACACACCGGUCCCCCGCCCUCUGAGCUGAGGAUGGGCCCAGCCUCCUCCUCUGGAAAGCCCCAAGUGCGGUACGGACUCGGGACAGAGGUGGCCGCCAGCCACGGGAAGCUGGCGUGUCUGCCACAGUGGGCAACCCCCUCAUGUGUCUGGUAACAAUGGGAUCCUAGGUGCCUCCAGGAUGGCAGUGCCCGUGACCCAAGACUAACUCACAGAGGCCUCCUGGACACUGAGUCUUAAGGCCAGCUGGAGGCUGGCGGUAGACAUGAAUUGGCAGCACUUAGCAAUAGCAGGGACCCACAGCAGCCUUGAGAAAAACGAGAGCAAAGUUGGAGGAAUCAUGCUACCUGAUACCAAACUGUAGUUCAAGGCCAUGGUGAUCAACACAGCCUGGUGCUGGCAUAAGAACCAGACACAGAGAUCAGUGGGACAGUUCAGAGAGCCCAGAAGGACGCCCACACCUGCAUGGUCAGUGAGUCUGUGACAAAGAAGGCAAGAAUAUAAAACGGGGCGACGACAGUCUAGUCAGUCAGUGGUGUUGGGAAAAAUGAACAGCUACAGGGAAAGAAUGAAAGGAGACCACCUCCUUACCCCACGUACAAGAACAGGCUCAAAAUGGGUUAAAGACUUAAGUGUAAAACCUGAAACCAUGAAACUCCUGGAAGAAAACUGGCAGUAAAAUCUCUGACUUUGCUCUUAGUAGUAUUUUUUUCUGGUGUAUUUCCUCAAACAAGGGAAACAAGAGAGAAAAAUAAACAAAUGAGACUGCAUCAAACUAAGAAGGGUUUGCGCAGCAAAGGAAACCGCCAUAGAAACACAAAGACAGCCGACAGUUCAUGGGAAGAUACUCGCCAAUGAUACACCUGAUGAGAAGCAAUAUCCAAAAUGUAUGAAGAACGCAUACAACUCAACACACACACAAUUAGAAAGUGGGCGGAGGACCUGAAUAGACACUCUCUGAAAAGGACAUCCAGAUGUCCAGUAGACAUGUGACAAGGUGCCCAGCGUCACCAGUCAGCAGAGAGACACAAACCAGAAUGAGACAGUCCCCUCACGACUGUCCGGACGGCCAUCACCAGUACUCAGCAGACAGGCUCAGAGAGGGUGUGGAGGAGGGGAACCUUCCCGCGUUGUUAGUGGGGUUGCUGGUGGGUGCAGCCAGUGUGGAAAACAGCAUGGGGGUUCCUCAAAAUAUUGAAAAAUCGAACUGCCUUCUGACCCAGCAAGUCUACUUCUGGGCGUUUAUCCAAAGAAACCCAGGAUAGUAAUUCAAAAAGACACGUGCACCCCCGUGUUCACUGCAGCAUCAUUUACAGCAGCCAAGAUCUGGGGGCAGCCCAAGUGCCCGUCAGUAGACAACUGGAUGAAAAAGCGGUGGUGCGUGUAUACAGUGGAAUAUUACCUGGCCACAAAAAAACAAAAUCUUAACCAUUUGUGUGCGCCAACAUGGAUGAAUCUGAAGAGCAUUAUGCUAAGUGAGAUAAGUCAGAGAAAGACGAAAACCACCCGAUUUCACCUAUAUGUGGAAUCUGGAAAACAAACAACAAAAUGGAGAUAGACGCCCAGACACAGAGCACAGGCUGGUGGCUGCUGGACGGUGGGGAGAGGCUGGGGGCCGGGCAGGGAGGCUCGGGGGUUGAGAAGGGCAGACGGGCAGGUACGGGGCAGACUCGGGGCCAGGAGGUCCGGCACAGCAAGUGGGGUCACCACGGUGUGAUGAUUGUGUCCAGUGCCAGGCGGGCGCUGGACUUGCUGGGGACCGCUUUGUUAAGUAUGUAAAUGUGUAAGCACAGGAUCAUGCACCUGAAACUGAUAUAAAGUAACAUUGGAAGUCAGCUGUAAUCGACAAAAAUGAGUAGAUGAGCCCUGGCUGGCGUAGCUCAGUGGAUUGAGCUCGGUCUGCAAACCAAAGCAUCGCAGGUUCGAUUCCCAGUCAGGGCACAUGCCUGGGUUGCAGGCCACAGCCCCCAGC